rnacentral:rRNA from 1 species
GACGGUGAAGAGGAGCUUGCUCCUUGGAUCAGUGGCGAACGGGUGAGUAACACGUGAGCAAUCUGCCCUUGACUCUGGGAUAACUGCGGGAAACUGUAGCUAAUACCGGAUAUUACCUUGGAAGGCAUCUUCUGGGGUGGAAAGAAUUUUGGUCAAGGAUGAGCUCGCGGCCUAUCAGCUAGUUGGUGAGGUAAUGGCUCACCAAGGCGACGACGGGUAGCCGGCCUGAGAGGGUGACCGGCCACACUGGGACUGAGACACGGCCCAGACUCCUACGGGAGGCAGCAGUGGGGAAUAUUGCACAAUGGGCGCAAGCCUGAUGCAGCAACGCCGCGUGAGGGACGACGGCCUUCGGGUUGUAAACCUCUUUUAGUAGGGAAGAAGCGACUGGGUUUUCCUGGAAGUGACGGUACCUGCAGAAAAAGCACCGGCUAACUACGUGCCAGCAGCCGCGGUAAUACGUAGGGUGCAAGCGUUGUCCGGAAUUAUUGGGCGUAAAGAGCUCGUAGGCGGUUUGUCGCGUCUGCUGUGAAAACCCGAGGCUCAACCUCGGGCCUGCAGUGGGUACGGGCAGACUAGAGUGCGGUAGGGGAGAUUGGAAUUCCUGGUGUAUCGGUGGAAUGCGCAGAUAUCAGGAGGAACACCAAUGGCGAAUGCAGAUCUCUGGGCCGUAACUGACGCU